CGGCCGCGGUAUUCUGGCCGUGCGAGGUAGCAUAAUCACUUGUCUUUUAAAUAGAGACUGGAAUGAAUGACUAAACGAGGCUCUAUCUGUCUCCUACAGGCGAUCAGUGAAAUUGAUCUCCUCGUGCAAAAGCGAGAAUGGUAACAUAAGACGAGAAGACCCUGUGGAACUUUAAAUAACAGCUAAUAACCAUAAACCCACUAAACCGAUAGGACCACUACCAUGACCACUCUUAGCUCUAUUUUCGGUUGGGGUGACCUCGGAGAAAAACGCAACCUCCGAAGACCUAUACUAAGAGCAACAAACCAAAGUGCCUCCGGCUAAACGAUCCAAUAUAUUUGAUUGAUGAACCAAGCUACCCCAGGGAUAACAGCGCAAUCCCCUCUUAGAGUGCCAUAUCAACGAUGGGGGUUUACGACCUCGAUGUUGGAUCAGGACAUCCUAAUGGUGCAGCCG
rnacentral:rRNA from 1 species